AUCAAGCGACGCCGCGUGUGUGAAGAAGGCCUGCGGGUUGUAAAGCACUUUUAGUGGGGAUGAAAAGCCCAGGGCUAAUACCCCUGGGUCUUGACCUAACCCACAGAAAAAAGCACCGGCUAAACUCUGUGCCAGCAGCCGCGGUAAUACAGAGGGUGCAAAGCGUUAAUCGGAAUUACUGGGCGUAAAAGCGUGCGUAGACGGUCAUGUAAGUCGGGUGUGAAAGCCCCGGGCUCAACCUGGGAAUUGCAUUCGAGACUGCAUGGCUAGGGUGCGGAAGAGGGAAGCGGAAUUUCCGGUGUAGCGGUGAAAUGCGUAGAUAUCGGAAGGAACACCAGUGGCGAAAGCGGCUUCCUGGUCCAGCACCGACGUUCAGGCACGAAAGCGUGGGGAGCAAACAGGAUUAGAUACCCUGGUAGUCCACGCCAUAAACGAUGAGAACUAGACGUUGAAGGGGUAAGCCCUGCAGUGUCGUAGCUAACGCGCUAAGU
rnacentral:rRNA from 1 species